GGUGCUAUAGUGUAGCGGUUAUCACAGCGGAUUCUGAUGGAAUUGGAUUCCGUUAACCCAGGUUCGAGUCCUGGUAGUACCU